rnacentral:lncRNA from 1 species
GGAUUCUACUGCACCAGGCAGAGGUUCCUGGAAAAGGUCAUUCCAGAGUGUGGGAUGCAUCAGAAGGACAGGAACCUCAGUCGGGAGUGCUCCUUCCACAGGGGGUGUUCCCUCCACACUCAGCCUGAUUGGGAAGGCAUCCUCUAGGCGGGACCCAGAGAAGCAUGGAGAUGUAUGGGUGAGGAGAGUGCUUGCCUUCUGCCGGAGUGCAGUGCCAGCGGCUGGAGCACAGGUGCCUGAGUGAGGUGUCCCGACCUACAGGAAUGGAAAUCAUCUCCAGGCUGGGAUGUUUGAGGAACAGACCUUGUUCUUGGAUCUUCCACUCUGCUUCCAACACCACCAUGAGGCAAGUGGCCUUUCUCUGUCCAUCCCUUCUGAAAGCUGUUACUGCUUUGCCACAGAAGUAAACGCAUCAGCGCCAACCAACCACAGGUCGCACGCAGCCUCUUGCUCCCCUGUGCUGGGAUUACAGCUCCUCUCCUGGAGUCUGGAGAGCUUGUUCUCAUGGUCCAGAUCCUAUCAGCAAUGACCUCUGAAAACUCAAAGCAAAUCUGCCUCUAGAGCAGCGGUUCUUAACCCGUGGGCUGCAACCCCUUAAGGCG